CUAAAGUAUUUUAUCACAUUUGACUAAUUCUGUCUUUAUAUGUUUAUUUGUUUUCCUUUUUGUUAACAUUUUUUCAGAAUAGUUUCGGGAAAAAAAUACACGGUCAGAUGAGACAUAUACUAGUUCUUAGAAUUUAGGGAAUCUCAAGAAAGAACAGCUAACCAUACUUCUGAUAUAUCAAGACCAGUAAAGGACUAGAGGUCGAGAAGGUUAAAUCGAAAGUGUGAUACCAUGCAUCUAAGCGUGAUAUUCUAUUCGGAAUAAGUUCUCAUAGCAGUAUAAUGAUAAAUCCGAACGUAAAGGAAUAUUACAAUUUAAUAUCACCUAUUAUGGACACGAAGACUAAUACAAACAUUAAAUUAAUGUAUUAUAGUAUAUGUAAUGUAUAAUUUGAGAAAUCUUAUCGUGUAUGUUUAUUACAAGUAUCAGAUGAUUUAAACCAGAUUUUGACUUAAUUCAAUUAUUUGCUGAAGUUGUUCACAGUAAAAGGUGAGGACAGUUUCUAUACUUAUAAAAAUCUAUAGAACACAUUCUCCAUCGUAAUGUGCAUUCUCGUUUGCUGUCUUAAGGAUUCAAUAUACGUGUUUUAAUGGCGUGCACUUGUCGCCGUUAUAGACAAAUAAUCGAACGCACGUUUGCUUCGUUUGAUAUAAUAAUUGCCGUAACAAUUACGGGCAAGUGGAAUACGGACUGAAAAUUUGUAGCAACAGACACAGUGAAGUGUUAUAGCAACGUUUAGUAUCGGAGAACACUUG
rnacentral:lncRNA from 1 species